UACGUAGGGGGGCAAGCGUUGUCCGGAUUCAUUGGGCGUAAAGAGCGUGUAGGCGGCCAGGUAGGUCGGUUGUGAAAACUGGAGGCUCAACCUUCAGAGGUCGACCGAAACCAUCUGGCUAGAGUCCGGGAGAGGAGAGUGGAAUUCCUGGUGUAGCGGUGAAAUGCGCAGAUAUCAGGAAGAACACCCGUGGCGAAAGCGGCUCUCUGGAACGGUACUGACGCUCAGGGCACGAAAGCGUGGGGAGCAAAAGGG
rnacentral:rRNA from 1 species